UACAGCCACACCAUGUUGAAACACCGAUUCGCGUACGAUCACCGAAGUUAAGCAUAUUCGAGCCUAAUCAGUACCUAAAUGGGUGACCAGGUG